UACGUAGGGCGCAAGCGUUGUCCGGAAUUAUUGGGCGUAAAGAGCUCGUAGGCGGCUUGUCACGUCGGGUGUGAAAGCCCGGGGCUUAACCCCGGGUCUGCAUUCGAUACGGGCUAGGCUAGAGUGUGGUAGGGGAGAUCGGAAUUCCUGGUGUAGCGGUGAAAUGCGCAGAUAUCAGGAGGAACACCGGUGGCGAAGGCGGGUCUCUGGGCCGAUACUGACGCUGAGGAGCGAAAGCGUGGGGAGCGAACAGGAUUAGAUACCUCGUGAG
rnacentral:rRNA from 1 species